rnacentral:rRNA from 1 species
UACGUAGGGUGCGAGCGUUUGUCCGGAAUUAUUGGGCGUAAAGAGCUCGUAGGCGGUGUGUCACGUCGGCCGUGAAAACCUGCAGCUUAACUGUGGGCGUGCGGUCGAUACGGGCAUCACUGGAGUUCGGCAGGGGAGACUGGAAUUCCUGGUGUAGCGGUGAAAUGCGCAGAUAUCAGGAGGAACACCGGUGGCGAAGGCGGCUCACUGGACCGGUACUGACGCUGAUGCGCGAAAGCGUGGGGAGCGAACAGG